rnacentral:lncRNA from 1 species
CCAGAGAAGAGCAUCCGUGUAUGGAGAGAGCCGGGCACUGCUGGGAAAGGGGAAAUGGGAGCAGCCUGCAGGGCCAGCUGUGACCCUUGGGACUCGAGGCCAGACCUGAGACCCCACAGCCCCGAGGGAACACAGCUCAGAGUGUGCAGGCUCCUAGCUGGGUAAACCAGCGCUUGGUUGUCAUUUGAGAAGAUGGGCUCCAUGUGUGGUGUGUGGUCCCAACUGGGAGCAUGUGGCCCUGUGAAUGACCUGCAGAAACAUUUCCCGCCUGCCGAGGAGUCUGAGGGAGAAGACUUGUAAGUCUCACGUCUUGCUGGACUUGGGCAGCAUCAGUUCAUGGACCCUUGUGUCCUGCCCACAGGUGCCCACACACCAGGCAGCUGGGUAUUGGAAGGACAAACUGGGCCGACCAGGAGCUCCUCCUGAAGCAGCAGUCGGGGCUCCUGGGUCUCAGGAAAAGGAGCCCAGCCAGGGAGGACGGGCCCUGCACUCCAGGGCAGACGCAUCUUCCUAUGGACGGCUUUGGGUGCAGGGAAGGUCGCUGGAGGCACUAGCAGAGGACCAGGUGUUACCAGCCGCGCCCGGACGUUGGCCCAGCGCAUGCAGUUGUUCCCAGUCUCGGAGUGCGAAAUGA